CUUCAUCGCGAGCAAGCUCGCUCCCACAGGGGGCUUGGUUCGUCGCGAAACCAAUGUGGGAGCGAGCUUGCUCGCGAUGAAU
rnacentral:misc_RNA from 2 species